AAGUGUUGAUUUUUGUCUGUUUUGUUCAUUGCCACCUUUGCGAGCCCGCCAAGUAUGUGACACCGGAGGCCCCACCCCCUGAAGACUCCGCCCCUGUGACGUAGUCCCGCGACGAUGACGCCACCGGAGCGACCCGAGCAUGCGCACUUCCGCAACACAGCCAGGGCAGACACGCACGACCCGGAAGGUCUUCCCGCUACACUCCAGCGCGGGCGUGAGAAGCGCCGAUGGCGGAGGAAGCGUUGGAGGCCCCAGCAGAGAAUGGUGGUGGUGGUGGCGGCGGCGACUCAGGAGCCAGCGCGUCGGAACGGGGCGUUGCGCCUAUUAAACCUCAAUACCUCACCACCAAGGAGGAGUUUCACAAAUUCCUAGAAGCCAAAGGGCAGGAGAAGCCUUGCCAGGAAACUGAGACAGGAGACCCCGGUGGCAAUGACCUGGCUGAGCCUGAGGCCAAGCGGAUCCGCCUGGAGGAUGGGCAGACGCAGGAUGGGCAGACAGAUGGGGCAGCUGAGCACGGGGAGCUGCUGCCGGCUCAGAAGAGGGCCCGGGGCCAGAACAAGGGCCGGCCCCACACGAAGCCCACACACUACGACCAGAACAGGCUCUGCCCCUCCCUGAUCCAGGAGUCGGCGGCCAAGUGCUUCUUCGGCGACCGCUGCCGUUUCCUGCACGACGUGGGCCGCUACCUGGAGGCCAAGCCCGCCGACCUGGGCCCCCGCUGCGUGCUGUUCGAGACCUUCGGCAGGUGCCCCUACGGCGUGACCUGCCGCUUCGCCGGGGCCCACCUGGGGCCCGAGGGCCAGAACCUGGUGCAGGAGGAGCUGGCGGCCCGCUGGGCGCACGGCCCGCCCGUCCGCAACGGCCUGGACAAGGCCCUGCAGCAGCAGCUGCGCAAGCGCGCGGUCCGCUUCGAGCGAUCGGAGCAGGUCCUGCGCCAGCUAAGCAGGGGCCCCCCGCCGGCUGCCGCCGUCCCCCAGGUCACGGCGGCCGAGGGGGCUCCGGGGCAGAACAACUGUGAGGCCCCGGUGGCCCCUGUAGACCCCGGCGCCGCCACCCCUCCCCACAGCCCUGCGCGGACCUGCGGACCCCUGACGGACGAGGACGUGGUCAGGCUGCGGCCCUGUGAGAAGAAGCGGCUGGACCUCGGCGGUAAACUGUACCUGGCGCCCCUCACCACGUGCGGGAACCUGCCCUUCCGGCGGAUCUGCAAGCGCUUCGGGGCGGACGUGACGUGCGGGGAGAUGGCCGUCUGCACCAACCUCCUGCAGGGCCAGACGUCCGAGUGGGCGCUGCUCAGACGCCACCAGUGUGAGGACAUCUUCGGCGUCCAGCUGGAGGGCGCCUUCCCCGACACCAUGACCAAGUGCGCCGAGCUGCUGAACCGCACCGUGGAGGUGGACUUCGUGGACGUCAACGUGGGCUGCCCCAUCGACCUCGUGUACAAGAAGGGCGGCGGCUGUGCCCUGAUGAAUCGCGCGGCCAAGUUCCAGCAGAUCGUCCGCGGCAUGAACCAGGUGCUGGACGUGCCGCUGACCGUGAAGAUCCGCACGGGCGUCCAGGAGCGCGUGAACCUGGCGCACCGCCUGCUGCCCCAGCUGCGGGACUGGGGUGCCGCCCUCGUCACGCCUGUCCCUCCCCGUCUCUCUCUCUCUGCCCCUCUCUGCGCCUCCCUCCCCGCCUGGGGCCCCCCAGCUGCACGGCCGCUCCCGGGAGCAGCGCUACACCAAGCUGGCCGACUGGCAGUACAUCGAGCAGUGCGUGAAGGCGGCCGGCCCCAUGCCCCUGUUCGGAAACGGUGACAUCUUGUCAUACGAGGACGCCAACCGCGCCAUGCAGACCGGCGUCGCCGGGAUCAUGAUUGCCCGCGGCGCCCUGCUGAAGCCCUGGCUGUUCACGGAAAUCAAAGAGCAGCGGCACUGGGACAUCUCGUCGUCCGAGCGCCUGGACAUCCUGCGUGACUUCACGAGCUACGGCCUGGAGCACUGGGGCUCGGACACGCAGGGCGUGGAGAGGACCCGGCGCUUCCUGCUCGAGUGGCUGUCCUUCCUGUGCAGGUACGUGCCCGUGGGCCUGCUGGAGCGGCUCCCGCAGAGGAUCAACGAGCGGCCGCCCUACUACCUGGGCCGGGACCACCUGGAGACGCUCAUGGCCAGCCAGAAGGCCGCGGACUGGAUCCGCAUCAGCGAGAUGCUCCUGGGGCCAGUGCCCCCCAACUUCGUCUUCCUGCCAAAGCACAAGGCCAACGCGUACAAGUAGCUGCGGGCGCCGGGGGUGGGGGCCUUCCGAGGGGCCCCCCAGGGCACAGAGAAGACAAUAAAUUUUAUUCUUUUAAAA